rnacentral:misc_RNA from 1 species
UAUGGUUGGUUGGUUGGUUGUGUGCUGGGCGCGUCUCGCCGCAGCAACCGCUUCGCAUGCGCAAGCGCACACGAGUUGCAUCAUGUGGUCUGCAGCUGCGCUGCGCCGCGUGCGGCAGUGACGAGGCGGCAGCCGGCGGCUGACCGCAGCGCACACCACACACGCGGAGCACCGUGGUGCCUUCGUCAAGAGAGAAGGUGCUUGUAAUGAUCCUUCCGCAGGUUCACCUACGGAAA